rnacentral:rRNA from 1 species
AUACGUAGGGUGCGAGCGUUGUCCGGAAUUACUGGGCGUAAAGAGCUCGUAGGUGGUUUGUCGCGUCGUCUGUGAAAUUCCGGGGCUUAACUCCGGGCGUGCAGGCGAUACGGGCAUAACUUGAGUACUGUAGGGGAGACUGGAAUUCCUGGUGUAGCGGUGAAAUGCGCAGAUAUCAGGAGGAACACCGGUGGCGAAGGCGGGUCUCUGGGCAGUAACUGACGCUGAGGAGCGAAAGCAUGGGUAGCGAACAGGAUUAGAUACCCUGGUAGUCCAUGCCGUAAACGGUGGGCGCUAGGUGUAGGGGUCUUCCACGACUUCUGUGCCGUAGCUAACGCAUUAAGCGCCCCGCCUGGGGAGUACGGCCGCAAGGCUGAAACUCAAAUGAAUUGGCGGGG